GAUGAACGCUGGCGGCGUGCCUAAUACAUGCAAGUCGAGCGAAUGGAUUAAGAGCUUGCUCUUAUGAAGUUAGCGGCGGACGGGUGAGUAACACGUGGGUAACCUGCCCAUAAGACUGGGAUAACUCCGGGAAACCGGGGCUAAUACCGGAUAACAUUUUGAACCGCAUGGUUCGAAAUUGAAAGGCGGCUUCGGCUGUCACUUAUGGAUGGACCCGCGUCGCAUUAGCUAGUUGGUGAGGUAACGGCUCACCAAGGCAACGAUGCGUAGCCGACCUGAGAGGGUGAUCGGGCACACUGGGACUGAGACACGGCCCAGACUCCUGCGGGAGGCAGCAGUAGGGAAUCUUCCGCAAUGGACGAAAGUCUGACGGAGCAACGCCGCGUGAGUGAUGAAGGCUUUCGGGUCGUAAAACUCUGUUGUUAGGGAAGAGCAAGUGCUAGUUGAAUAAGCUGGCACCUUGACGGUACCUAACCAGAAAGCCACGGCUAACUACGUGCCAGCCGCCGCAGUAA
rnacentral:rRNA from 1 species